rnacentral:rRNA from 1 species
CACUAUCGUUAACUGAAUACAUAGGUUAACGAGGCGAACCGGGGGAACUGAAACAUCUAAGUACCCCGAGGAAAAGAAAUCAACCGAGAUUCCCCCAGUAGCGGCGAGCGAACGGGGAGCAGCCCAGAGUCUGAAUCAGCUUGUGUGUUAGUGGAACGGUCUGGAAAGUCCGACGGUACAGGGUGAUAGUCCCGUACACCAAAAUGCACAGGCUGUGAACUCGAAGAGUAGGGCGGGACACGUGGUAUCCUGUCUGAAUAUGGGGGGACCAUCCUCCAAGGCUAAAUACUCCUGACUGACCGAUAGUGAACCAGUACCGUGAGGGAAAGGCGAAAAGAACCCCGGCGAGGGGAGUGAAAAAGAACCUGAAACCGUGUACGUACAAGCAGUGGGAGCACCUUCGGGUGUGACUGCGUACCUUUUGUAUAAUGGGUCAGCGACUUAUAUUCUGUAGCAAGGUUAACCGUAUAGGGGAGCCGCAGGGAAACCGAGUCUUAACUGGGCGUUAAGUUGCAGGGUAUAGACCCGAAACCCGGUGAUCUAGCCAUGGGCAGGUUGAAGGUUGGGUAACACUAACUGGAGGACCGAACCGACUAAUGUUGAAAAAUUAGCGGAUGACUUGUGGCUGGGGGUGAAAGGCCAAUCAAACCGGGAGAUAGCUGGUUCUCCCCGAAAGCUAUUUAGGUAGCGCCUCGUGAACUCAUCUUCGGGGGUAGAGCACUGUUUCGGCUAGGGGGUCAUCCCGACUUACCAACCCGAUGCAAACUACGAAUACCGAAGAAUGUUAUCACGGGAGACACACGGCGGGUGCUAACGUCCGUCGUGAAGAGGGAAACAACCCAGACCGCCAGCUAAGGUCCCAAAGUCAUGGUUAAGUGGGAAACGAUGUGGGAAGGCACAGACAGCCAGGAUGUUGGCUUAGAAGCAGCCAUCAUUUAAAGAAAGCGUAAUAGCUCACUGGUCGAGUCGGCCUGCGCGGAAGAUGUAACGGGGCUAAACCAUGCACCGAAGCUGCGGCAGCGACACUAUGUGUUGUUGGGUAGGGGAGCGUUCUGUAAGCCUGCGAAGGUGUGCUGUGAGGCAUGCUGGAGGUAUCAGAAGUGCGAAUGCUGACAUAAGUAACGAUAAAGCGGGUGAAAAGCCCGCUCGCCGGAAGACCAAGGGUUCCUGUCCAACGUUAAUCGGGGCAGGGUGAGUCGACCCCUAAGGCGAGGCCGAAAGGCGUAGUCGAUGGGAAACAGGUUAAUAUUCCUGUACUUGGUGUUACUGCGAAGGGGGGACGGAGAAGGCUAUGUUAGCCGGGCGACGGUUGUCCCGGUUUAAGCAUGUAGGCUGGUUGUCCAGGCAAAUCCGGAUAAUCAAGGCUGAGGUGUGAUGACGAGGCACUACGGUGCUGAAGUAACAAAUGCCCUGCUUCCAGGAAAAGCCUCUAAGCAUCAGGUAACAUUAAAUCGUACCCCAAACCGACACAGGUGGUCAGGUAGAGAAUACCAAGGCGCUUGAGAGAACUCGGGUGAAGGAACUAGGCAAAAUGGUGCCGUAACUUCGGGAGAAGGCACGCUGGUGUGUAGGUGAAGCCCCUGCGGGUGGAGCUGAGACCAGUCGAAGAUACCAGCUGGCUGCAACUGUUUAUUAAAAACACAGCACUGUGCAAACACGAAAGUGGACGUAUACGGUGUGACGCCUGCCCGGUGCCGGAAGGUUAAUUGAUGGGGUUAUCCGUAAGGAGAAGCUCUUGAUCGAAGCCCCGGUAAACGGCGGCCGUAACUAUAACGGUCCUAAGGUAGCGAAAUUCCUUGUCGGGUAAGUUCCGACCUGCACGAAUGGCGUAAUGAUGGCCAGGCUGUCUCCACCCGAGACUCAGUGAAAUUGAACUCGCUGUGAAGAUGCAGUGUACCCGCGGCAAGACGGAAAGACCCCGUGAACCUUUACUAUAGCUUGACACUGAACAUUGAGCCUUGAUGUGUAGGAUAGGUGGGAGGCUUUGAAGCGUGGACGCCAGUCUGCGUGGAGCCAACCUUGAAAUACCACCCUUUAAUGUUUGAUGUUCUAACGUUGGCCCCUGACCGGGGUUGCGGACAGUGUCUGGUGGGUAGUUUGACUGGGGCGGUCUCCUCCCAAAGCGUAACGGAGGAGCACGAAGGUUAGCUAAUCCUGGUCGGACAUCAGGAGGUUAGUGCAAUGGCAUAAGCUAGCUUGACUGCGAGCGUGACGGCGCGAGCAGGUGCGAAAGCAGGUCAUAGUGAUCCGGUGGUUCUGAAUGGAAGGGCCAUCGCUCAACGGAUAAAAGGUACUCCGGGGAUAACAGGCUGAUACCGCCCAAGAGUUCAUAUCGACGGCGGUGUUUGGCACCUCGAUGUCGGCUCAUCACAUCCUGGGGCUGAAGUAGGUCCCAAGGGUAUGGCUGUUCGCCAUUUAAAGUGGUACGCGAGCUGGGUUUAGAACGUCGUGAGACAGUUCGGUCCCUAUCUGCCGUGGGCGCUGGAGAAUUGAGGGGGGCUGCUCCUAGUACGAGAGGACCGGAGUGGACGCAUCACUGGUGUUCGGGUUGUCAUGCCAAUGGCACUGCCCGGUAGCUAAAUGCGGAAGAGAUAAGUGCUGAAAGCAUCUAAGCACGAAACUUGCCCCGAGAUGAGUUCUCCCUGAGACUUUAAGUCUCCUGAAGGAACGUU